rnacentral:rRNA from 1 species
UACGGGGGGAGCAAGCGUUGUUCGGAUUUACUGGGCGUAAAGGGCGCGUAGGCGGCGUGACAAGUCACUUGUGAAAUCUCCGGGCUUAACUCGGAGCGGUCAAGUGAUACUGUCGUGCUAGAGUGCGGAAGGGGCUACUGGAAUUCUCGGUGUAGCGGUGAAAUGCGUUGAUAUCGACCGGAACUCCGGUGGCGAAGGCGAGGCGCUGGACCCUUUCUGACGCUGAGGCGCGAAAGCCAGGGGAGCAAACGGG